rnacentral:rRNA from 1 species
UACGUAGGGUGCGAGCGUUGUCCGGAAUUAUUGGGCGUAAAGGGCUCGUAGGCGGUCUGUCGCGUCGGGAGUGAAAACUCAGGGCUUAACCCUGAGCCUGCUUCCGAUACGGGCAGACUAGAGGUAUGCAGGGGGAGAACGGAAUUCCUGGUGUAGCGGUGGAAUGCGCAGAUAUCAGGAGGAACACCGGUGGCGAAGGCGGUUCUCUGGGCAUUACCUGACGCUGAGGAGCGAAAGCUAGGGGGAGCAAACGGG